AAAUUGAAGAGUUUGAUCAUGGCUCAGAUUGAACGCUGGCGGCAGGCCUAACACAUGCAAGUCGAACGGUAACAGGAAGCAGCUUGCUGCUUUGCUGACGAGUGGCGGACGGGUGAGUAAUGUCUGGGAAACUGCCUGAUGGAGGGGGAUAACUACUGGAAACGGUGGCUAAUACCGCAUAACGUCGCAAGACCAAAGAGGGGGACCUUCGGGCCUCUUGCCAUCAGAUGUGCCCAGAUGGGAUUAGCUAGUUGGUGAGGUAACGGCUCACCAAGGCGACGAUCCCUAGCUGGUCUGAGAGGAUGACCAGCCACACUGGAACUGAGACACGGUCCAGACUCCUACGGGAGGCAGCAGUGGGGAAUAUUGCACAAUGGGCGCAAGCCUGAUGCAGCCAUGCCGCGUGUAUGAAGAAGGCCUUCGGGUUGUAAAGUACUUUCAGCGGGGAGGAAGGUGUUGUGGUUAAUAACCGCAGCAAUUGACGUUACCCGCAGAAGAAGCACCGGCUAACUCCGUGCCAGCAGCCGCGGUAAUACGGAGGGUGCAAGCGUUAAUCGGAAUUACUGGGCGUAAAGCGCACGCAGGCGGUCUGUCAAGUCGGAUGUGAAAUCCCCGGGCUCAACCUGGGAACUGCAUUCGAAACUGGCAGGCUUGAGUCUUGUAGAGGGGGGUAGAAUUCCAGGUGUAGCGGUGAAAUGCGUAGAGAUCUGGAGGAAUACCGGUGGCGAAGGCGGCCCCCUGGACAAAGACUGACGCUCAGGUGCGAAAGCGUGGGGAGCAAACAGGAUUAGAUACCCUGGUAGUCCACGCCGUAAACGAUGUCUACUUGGAGGUUGUGCCCUUGAGGCGUGGCUUCCGGAGCUAACGCGUUAAGUAGACCGCCUGGGGAGUACGGCCGCAAGGAUAAAACUCAAAUGAAUUGACGGGGGCCCGCACAAGCGGUGGAGCAUGUGGUUUAAUUCGAUGCAACGCGAAGAACCUUACCUGGUCUUGACAUCCACGGAAGUUUUCAGAGAUGAGAAUGUGCCUUCGGGAACCGUGAGACAGGUGCUGCAUGGCUGUCGUCAGCUCGUGUUGUGAAAUGUUGGGUUAAGUCCCGCAACGAGCGCAACCCUUAUCCUUUGUUGCCAGCGAUUAGGUCGGGAACUCAAAGGAGACUGCCAGUGAUAAACUGGAGGAAGGUGGGGAUGACGUCAGGUCAUCAUGGCCCUUACGACCAGGGCUACACACGUGCUACAAUGGCGCAUACAAAGAGAAGCGACCUCGCGAGAGCAAGCGGACCUCAUAAAGUGCGUCGUAGUCCGGAUUGGAGUCUGCAACUCGACUCCAUGAAGUCGGAAUCGCUAGUAAUCGUGGAUCAGAAUGCCACGGUGAAUACGUUCCCGGGCCUUGUACACACCGCCCGUCACACCAUGGGAGUGGGUUGCAAAAGAAGUAGGUAGCUUAACCUUCGGGAGGGCGCUUACCACUUUGUGAUUCAUGACUGGGGUGAAGUCGUAACAAGGUAACCGUAGGGGAACCUGCGGUUGGAUCACCUCCUUACCUUAAAGAA
rnacentral:rRNA from 1 species